CAUGCUGUAAACGUUGGGCACUAGGUGUGGGGAUCGUUGUGGUUUCUGCGCCGUAGCUAACGCAUUAAGUGUCCCGCCUGGGGAGUACGGCCGCAAGGCUAAAACUCAAAGGAAUUGACGGGGACCCGCACAAGCGGCGGAGCAUGCGGAUUAAUUCGAUGCAACGCGAAGAACCUUACCAAGGCUUGACAUGCACCGGUACAGUGUAGAGAUAUGCUGGCCUUUUGGGCUGGUGUGCAGGUGG
rnacentral:rRNA from 1 species